GACGAACGCUGGCGGCGUGCUUAACACAUGCAAGUCGAGCGGUAAGGCCCUUUCGGGGGUACACGAGCGGCGAACGGGUGAGUAACACGUGGGUGACCUGCCCUCAGCUCUGGGAUAAGCCCGGGAAACUGGGUCUAAUACCGGAUAUGACUCCAUGACGCAUGUUGUGGGGUGGAAAGCCUUGUGCGGCUGAGGAUGGGCCCGCGGCCUAUCAGCUUGUUGGUGGGGUGANGGCCUACCAAGGCGACGACGGGUAGCCGGCCUGAGAGGGCGACCGGCCACACUGGGACUGAGACACGGCCCAGACUCCUACGGGAGGCAGCAGUGGGGAAUCUUGCGCAAUGGGCGAAAGCCUGACGCAGCGACGCCGCGUGAGGGAUGACGGCCUCGGUU
rnacentral:rRNA from 1 species